ACAAAAAAAAUCUAAAAGAAAUGAUAGCAUUAAAAUUUUUUCAGCUAAUGAAGAUCAUGAAUGAAAGAAAUUAAGUAUCAGAUGUGAUAUAGCUCCUAUGUGUUUACACGUAACUUUUGGUAAUUUAAAAGGCAGUGUUAGUGAAGGUGAAAUGGAGACACAAAUCAGUUGAUUCUGAUUUUUGUGAACAGGUCUGGUAAAAAGUGGGAUUAAAAAAGAUGUUGAAUACAAGUAAUAAAAUGAAGUUUGAGUUUACUGUAUUCGUGCAUUUAUCACUAUGUCAAUGAGAGCCCAAGUGCAUAACUGAGAUUUAUCCAAAGACCAGAAGAAACUUAUCAAUAACUAAUUAAGACCUAAAAGAAAUGUGCACUGUUUCAGGAUAUCUGCUCAAUGUUUUAGGAUCCCUCCCUUAAGAGGCUUACGAUUGUAACCAGGAAAACAAGUGCACUGCUCACAAUAGUAAAAAGGAAGGAGAGGGCUCUAAAAAUUGCUGGGCAAUUUCAAAGAAGAGAAGAUGACUGUGAAAGUAGAUGACGCGACUGUCGAAGGAACAGGUGAGAGGUGAACUGUAAGUACUGGGCUUUCUUGGGAUGCAGUCCGGGGCCCUCUGCCCCUCUCUUCCUCAGUGCAGGGUGUCAGCAGUUGCUAUGGAUUUAAGGGUCCUUAUGCAAGGACCCUGAAAUGUGCACCUCCAGGGAUGCUCUUUCCUCCCCUCUGAGCUGCAGGCUCACCUACUUAACUGCCUACUUAGCAUCAUCUUCACCUUGACAUUCAUUCCACACAUUCAUGCAGAGAACCCACCAUGUGCCGGACACCGUCCUACACAUUGGGUUAGUGCGGUGAAUGUGACCAAAGAUCCCUGCUGACAUGGAACUUCCAUUUUACUGCAAUAACAUAGGUACUAAGUAAGUUCAAUUAGCAACUCGUUGCAGAAAGUGCUAUGUGCUAUGAAGGAAAUCAAACAGGGUGACAGCACAGAAAAAGAGGAGAGGAGGAGAGUAAUGCAGGAAAAGCCUGUCCUGGCAUGUGAUGGAAUCCCUGGAAUGAUGUUGCACCUUGCAUAUAUGAAGGUCCGGGGAAAGCAUGUUCCGUGUGUGAGGAGCCCUGAAGCAGGCAUGGAGUCCCUCAGAUUUUCUCCAACUCAGUAUGUCCAGAGUACAACCCCCCGCCACAACCUUGCUCCCCACUCUUCCCCAUCUUAGUAAAUGAUAUUUACUUUUAAGCCAGAAACACAGGAGUCUUUUUGGUGUGUGUGUGUGUGUGUGUGUGUGUGUGUGUGUGUGUGUGUGUGUGUUUUAAUGCUCUCUUCUCUCCGCCAUGUUACAGGAGGUCUCUAUCAUCUCUCCCUUAGAAUUCAGUGCUGCCUCAUCUGUAGGUACAUUGCAUACAGCAGGUGUUAGUUUGAAUCAUUAAUCCCUGCUUCCCCUGCAGCCCUGGGAAGGGCACGUUUCUGCCUUGCAAUAUUAUGAACUCUGAAACAGGAUUGUGACUUUUGUAUCUUACUGAUUUUGUGAAGCUGCCUGUCUAGAUUUGAUUGUGGGGUCUGGUUGUCUCAUUUGUACAAGAAGUGUCCUAUGGCUUUAUUUUCCUUAAAAUACAACCAUCUUAGACUCCUGAGCCCCAUCCCCCCGAGUCGGUUCAUGUUAGAGCUCCCCGGCAUCACGUCGUGGAAGGUCCCAAGGAAAACACUCGGGGAGCCUUUCAGUCUUCACCAACACUGGCCCCCCCUCACCCACCCUUAACCAAGCCCUCGUGGCACCUUGAAGAUAAAGGUGAAAGACCUCCCAGAAAGAAAAAAAAAAAACCUUCUUGGGAGCCAUUUGAUAAUUCAUCUCUGCCCAGUUCCCUCCUCCCACCAAAAACGUAAGGUUGAAGUAAAGACAUUAACCAUCAGAUUUCUGACCAAGGUGUCUGAGACACCGAUUCGAACACCAUCCAGAAAGCUGAACUCUUAUACACACACACGAGAGUCCUUCUCACACAUGGCUGCACACUAAAUCACCCAGCCGGCUUCUGAAAACAGAAUGCCUGGGCCCCACCCCAGACCAUCUGGGGGUAGAGCCUAGGUGUUGAGUUAUUAAGAACUUUCGCACACAGCUCUCCUGAACAGUGAGGGGUAAGAACUUCCGGCCUAGAGGAGCACCUGGGUGGCUCAGUCAGUUGAGCACUGACUCUUGGUUUUGGCUCAGUUCAUCAUCUCAUGGUUCGUGGGUUAGAGCCCCAAAUCGGGGCUUGAAGCCUGCUCCGGAUUCUGUGUCUCCAUCUCUCUUUGCCCUUCCCCCACGCAUGCUCUGUCUCUCUCUCUCGAAAUUAAAUAAACGUAAAAAAAAAAAAAAGAA